GAAGGGACCAGGCAGCAGCAGCCCAAUCCCAGGAAGCCUAUGGAAAUUGUGGUUGUCUGCCCAGGUCUCUCAGGUGUUUGCUAUUGACACCACACGCGAUGCCAAAGCCUGGUUCCCCACCCCCUCCAUCCCACACCCUGGCCUCCUUCACUUACCCCUCGGUCCCCGCUAAUGAAAGAUUUGGUUCUGGCCGCUGUGGCCAUGUUUAGUAUGUGUUUUAUCCCACCUUGUGUUGACAUGGUGACCUCCCCUGGCAGGCCAGGAUUUGUCAGCCUUCUUCUGGCUGUGCAGUGGGAACCAGACGUCGGCAGAGCCGCGAAGAUAAAGUAAAGAAUCCCCAGUCCAACCACCCGGUGCAUGACUGUUCCUAAACGAGGCCUGGAAUGAAGAAGAGGAAAAAGAGAAAAAGAGAAAAGGCAUGGUUUUAAGAAACAGUGUGUUUCCUGGGAACAAGGUGGAAACAGGCUCAGGACAACUGGGUCUCCACUAGGAACUGAAGCUGGAUGGAUGCCCAGGCAGCAACACGUUGAGGCCAUGCAGCCAGGAUUCUGUGUUCUGACUACUGUACAGAGGGCAAAAACAAAGAAACAAACAACCUCUCCACCCCCCCCAACUCCCGCAAAAACCCCAAAAAGUAUCUGAGAAGGAAUUUCA